UACGUAGGGGGCAAGCGUUGUCCGGAAUUACUGGGCGUAAAGCGUGCGUAGGCGGUUCGUUAAGUCUGUUGUGAAAGCCCCGGGCUCAACCUGGGAAUGGCAAUGGAUACUGGCGAGCUAGAGUGUGUCAGAGGAUGGUGGAAUUCCCGGUGUAGCGGUGAAAUGCGUAGAGAUCGGGAGGAACAUCAGUGGCGAAGGCGGCCAUCUGGGACAACACUGACGCUGAGGCACGAAAGCGUGGGGAGCAAACAGG
rnacentral:rRNA from 1 species